rnacentral:rRNA from 1 species
GAUGAACGCUGGCGGCGUGCCUAAUACAUGCAAGUCGAGCGAACAGACGAGGAGCUUGCUCCUCUGACGUUAGCGGCGGACGGGUGAGUCACACGUGGAUAACCUACCUAUAAGACUGGGAUAACUUCGGGAAACCGGAGCUAAUACCGGAUAAUAUAUUGAACCGCAUGGUUCAAUAGUGAAAGACGGUUUUGCUGUCACUUAUAGAUGGAUCCGCGCCGCAUUAGCUAGUUGGUAAGGUAACGGCUUACCAAGGCAACGAUGCGUAGUCGACCUGAGAGGGUGAUCGGCCACACUGGAACUGAGACACGGUCCAGACUCCUACGGGAGGCAGCAGUAGGGAAUCUUCCGCAAUGGGCGAAAGCCUGACGGAGCAACGCCGCGUGAGUGAUGAAGGUCUUCGGAUCGUAAAACUCUGUUAUUAGGGAAGAACAAAUGUGUAAGUAACUAUACACGUCUUGACGGUACCUAAUCAGAAAGCCACGGCUAACUACGUG